UGGGGAAUAUUGGACAAUGGGCGAAAGCCUGAUCCAGCCAUGCCGCGUGUGUGAAGAAGGUCUUCGGAUUGUAAAGCACUUUAAGUUGGGAGGAAGGGCAUUAACCUAAUACGUUAGUGUUUUGACGUUACCGACAGAAUAAGCACCGGCUAACUCUGUGCCAGCAGCCGCGGUAAUACAGAGGGUGCAAGCGUUAAUCUGAAUUACUGGGCGUAAAGCGCGCGUAGGUGGUUUGUUAAGUUGGAUGUGAAAUCCCCGGGCUCAACCUGGGAACUGCAUUCAAAACUGACUGACUAGAGUAUGGUAGAGGGUGGUGGAAUUUCCUGUGUAGCGGUGAAAUGCGUAGAUAUAGGAAGGAACACCAGUGGCGAAGGCGACCACCUGGACUAAUACUGACACUGAGGUGCGAAAGCGUGGGGAGCAAACA
rnacentral:rRNA from 1 species